GACGAACGCUGGCGGCGUGCUUAACACAUGCAAGUCGAACGGUAAGGCCCUUCGGGGUACACGAGUGGCGAACGGGUGAGUAACACGUGGGUGAUCUGCCCUGCACUUCGGGAUAAGCCUGGGAAACUGGGUCUAAUACCGGAUAGGACCACUGCCUGCAUGGGUGGUGGUGGAAAGCUUUUGCGGUGUGGGAUGGGCCCGCGGCCUAUCAGCUUGUUGGUGGGGUGAUGGCCUACCAAGGCGACGCCGGGUAGCCGGCCUGGGAGGGUGACCGGCCACACUGGGACUGAGAUACGGCACAGACUCCUACGGGAGGCAGCAGUGGGGAAUAUUGCACAAUGGGCGCAAGCCUGAUGCAGCGACGCCGCGUGAGGGAUGACGGCCUUCGGGUUGUAAACCUCUUUCAGCACCGACGAAGCGCAAGUGACGGUAGGUGCAGAAGAAGGACCGGCCAACUACGUGCCAGCCGCCGCAGUAA
rnacentral:rRNA from 1 species